GGGCUGCCGGUUCACACAAAGGGUUGUACUCGACCACUUCUAGGUUGCCGGUGUCGGAGGACUACUACAGAGGCAAGGACAUGGUCGAUUGGCUCACUUGCCUUAUGCUUGGUUCCGGUUUCUCUCCCUCCCGCGCCGGAGUCGUUGAGAUUUUGUGCAAGUUGGCAGACAUGGAUUUUAUAGAUGAUGCAGGUAGUUCAUCCACUCCUGGAUAUUAGGAGGACACCUAGAAAACCUCAGUAUACUAAGGCACCAGAGCUUCCAUUGAUAUUACUACUUUACCCAUUUGAUAAAAUCAGCUAUGUGUGUUCAUCAGGUAUGCACUUUCCUAUGAGCAUACUCACAUCAGAUUUUAUUUCGUCUUAUUUAGGUUUGCUGGAUUUAUAUGGUACUACAAGUAGUUGAUUUGCAUGGAUUUUAUAUGAUUUUAUAGGUAGUUAAUUCGCUUCAGGAUUUUACAAAGCCUCCUACAAAAAACUCAGUAUACUAUGGCACCAGAGUUUCAUUGAUUUUACUAAUUUACCUAUUUGAUAAAGUCAGAUCCAGCAGGUAUGUACUUUGAUAUCUCUGUGCUGAAUGAUGCAUCCAUGGGAGAUUUCAGCUUGCCAAAUACAUCAGCAAGUUGUUCUAGCCAUGACAUUGUAGUUAGCCCAGAACUACCAGAAAUGGCUUAACUCAAUUAUAAUAAUAUCUACGUUACCAUAGAUAUGAGCCAUACAUUUAUAUGAUGUUGCAGUUCUUCUUGACAAAUUUGGUAGAAGAAGUAUAAAAACUGCCUUCUCACAACUUUUAGUUAUCCUCAACCACCUAUUUUCUAUGCUCCUGUUAUUAUUACUCAUUUUAGCAUAGAUAGAUAAAUGAGCAAGGGAACAUUUAGUUUGGCUUCGAAGGGAUCCAUUAGAGGCUGCGACAACGCAAACUUUUAUUUUAUCUAAGGAAAAAAAUGCAGAUCAAUGAUUCUUUGCAUCAUAGGUGUUGCUGCUUCAUGAGAUCAAAAUUGACAUGGUUCCACAGUUACAAAUAAUGAUUUUGAGAAAUCUGCAUUGUUUGUGUUCCGUGUGCUAGAUGCUGAGUUAGGUUCUCUUCAUUUUGGUGGAAAAAAUGUUGUUUUGGGAGGUGAUUUCAGGCAAGUGUUGCCUGUUGUAGAAAGGAGCAGCAUAGCUGAAGUCGUCGACUCUUUGCUUAUUAGGUCCCUAUAGCAGCAUGUGAUUGUGCUUAGGCUGCCCAUAAACACGAGGUUGUCUAAUCAUGCGCUAUCAGAUGAGGAGCAGGCUGGUCUGAAAGAAUUUGCACAGUGGGUUCUUCAUGUUGGUGAGGGAGCAAUGCCCAUGGAUACACGAGAGGGGUAAGCUAGCCCUUCUUGGAUCUCUUUGCCACUUGAUAUAACACAGCUGCCUUUUUUCUGAUCAUGUCUUUCUGAGAUGUAUUCCGAUGCAUCUUACUUGGCGGCUGUCUUCUAUGGGUACCUUCAGAAGAAAUAGUUUUCGAAAGUUGUGAUAGUAUGCAAUGACCAUUGACAAAAUUUCAGGGUCAUGCUCUUAACAAGGUUGGCAUUUACUUGCAAAGCCGGCUUUCUCACAUUAAGGGAGGGAUUGAAAGUGUUAGCGCUCGAUGAAUCUGGUGAAGCGACCAAGUAAUAUAGUAUACUGAGAAGUGCUUGGUCAUCUCUAGGCGUUCUUAUACACGUGUUUCCAUGUACUACAUUUUUUCUGCACUGUCACAUUUUUCGGUGGAUGUUAGUUUUCUUAUGCUCUUCCAUUCUCUGUAUGUAGAUUAAUUAUUAUUACUUGGACCUGCUGGCUAAUGCUUUUGUUCAUUUUGCUUUUGUCCUCAGGGAUAAAUGCCUAUCUUUUAGUAACUGCUUAUAAGUGCACCGCAUGGUGUACCACUACUGAAACUAUACCAAAAACGCUGGAAAUUAAGGUCCUGCAAUUGCACUUAGCUGAUCUAGCCUGGACAUAUAUCCAGACAAAGUGCAAAUGCGUGGUGCUCUAUCUAUUUCUAUAUGUUGUCGCUAUCAUGGAACCCUUUCUGUUUUGGUACUGCUAUGGCGCAAGUUUAGAAGUUGUGUACAAACCUCAGGAGCUAAAGUCGCUUCGUGCAUUUGGUUUAAAUACAAGAAGAGUGGCCAUGGCCAGUUCUUAAAUUUUUGUAUGUUUUCUAGCGAUAUAAGGAGCAUACGGCCAAGGCCAACACUUAGCUUUGUUACAUUUUCAAGCAAUAAGCUGAGAACUGCUUCGUCUGACUGUUUAUUAUGUGAUGUAUGUUAUCUUGCAUAUCUGUAUUGUACAAACAUGUAAAAGGUAGUUUUUUAUGAUUCAUGUUUUUAUGCU